rnacentral:rRNA from 1 species
CCUACGGGCGGCUGCAGUGGGGAAUAUUGCACAAUGGGCGCAAGCCUGAUGCAGCCAUGCCGCGUGUGUGAAGAAGGCCUUCGGGUUGUAAAGCACUUUCAGCGGGGAGGAAGGCGUUAAGGUUAUUAACCUUGUCGAUUGACGUUACCCGCAGAAGAAGCACCGGCUAACUCCGUGCCAGCAGCCGCGGUAAUACGGGGGGUGUAAGCGUUAAUCGGAAUUACUGGGCGUAAAGCGCACGCAGGCGGUCUGUCAAGUCGGAUGUGAAAUCCCCGGGCUCAACCUGGGAACUGCAUUCGAAACUGGCAGGCUAGAGUCUUGUAGGGGGGGGUAGAAUUCCAGGUGUAGCGGUGAAAUGCGUAGAGAUCUGGAGGAAUACCGGUGGCGAAGGCGGCCCCCUGGACAAAGACUGACGCUCAGGUGCGAAAGCGUGGGGAGCAAACAGGAUUAGAUACCCGGGUAGUC